UUUCCGUAGGUGAACCUGCGGAAGGAUCAUUAUUGUAUAACCGAGGUGCGAGGCCUGUCACUGACCCGAAAGGUCGUGCACGCCCGAGUGCCCUCACACACAUCCAUCUCACCCCUAUGUGCACCACCGCGUGGGUCCCCCUUUGGCUUGUUCGGAGGGGGGCUUACGUUUUCACACAAACUUUGUAUGCAGUGUAGAAUGUAUUUUUUGUUUUUGCGAUCACGCAAUCAAUACAACUUUCAACAACGGAUCUCUUGGCUCUC
rnacentral:misc_RNA from 1 species